GAAACUUAAAGGAAUUGGCGGGGGAGCACCACAAGGGGUGAAGCUUGCGGUUUAAUUGGAGUCAACGCCGGAAAUCUCACCGGGAGCGACAGCAGUGUGAAGGCCAGAUUAAAGGUCUUGCCAGACGAGCUGAGAGGAGGUGCAUGGCCGUCGCCAGUUCGUGCCGUGAGGUGUCCUGUUAAGUCAGGCAACGAUCGAGACCCGCGUCCUCUGUUGCUACUAGCCUUGAGCUGGGCACACUGAGGAGACCGCCGCUGAUAAAGCGGAGGAAGGAGCGGGCCACGGCAGGUCAGUAUGCCCCGAAUCUCCCGGGCCACACGCGAGCUGCAAUGGCAGGUACAAUGGGUUCCGACCUCGAAAGGGGGAGGCAAUCUCGAAAGCCUGCCGUAGUUGGGAUCGAGGGUUGAAACCCAUCCUCGUGAACAUGGAAUCCCUAGUAAUCGCGUGUCACUAGCGCGCGGUGAAUACGUCCCUGCUCCUUGCACACACCGCCCGUCGUUCCACCCGAGCGACUCUUGGGUGAGGCGUGGUCUUUCUUGGCUGCGUCGAAUCUGAGUUUCGUGAGGGGGGAAAAGUCGUAACAAGGUGGCCGUAGGGGAACCUGCGGCCG
rnacentral:rRNA from 1 species